UCAAGGAAACUGAGCGCAUGAUCGCCAUAUGCACAGAACAUAGGAAGAUAAUUUGUUACAUGUUUCAAGCCUAGUGUUGAAGAAAUUCUCCUUAAGAGUUCCUUCCAUUGUCGUUUAUCCCCCCCUCCCCCCCCCGCUCUUGCCAUUUUGCACCAUUGUCGUUUAUCCCCCCCUCCCCCCCGCUCUUGCCAUUUUGCACCAAAAUUGCAGUUGGGAGCAACGCACUCCAAGCAUUGAAACCACUUCAAUUUCUACUAUAUAGAAGCAUGAGCCCAGGAACAACCAAGGGCAAAAGAGUAAUUUCACAGAAAACAAAUACACCCAGAAGCAUCUAUUCCCAAUUCAUGUUACUACUGUUACGCGUAUUCCAUAACUAUUCAUUCACAAAUCAUCUGAUGUCUCAGUGUUUGCUUUAAUCACGUCUCUUACUUAUUCCAAUUUAUGGUUUUCUUCUCAAUAUUUUUUUCAAAUCCUCUUUUUGCUCAUUUUUUCAGUUUCAAUUCAGAAAAAAAUUUGAUGAAAGAGCAGUUUUCGAUUCUUCUAAUACAAUAUAAUUUUUCUGUUGCAAAUGAGAGCGAACAAUCAAAAAGUAUAAAAGUUGGGCUUUUAGAGUUCAAGCAGAGGAUAAUGGCAAGGACAACAAAGAAGAUAUUUUUGUGAUAUGUGAAUGCCUCAUAUGGAGAGGUUUAAUGAUUUUUGACGAAGCAACAAAUGUUGUCAGGUUGUUAGAGGAUGUACAUUUCCUCUUCCUAAUUCCAUUCCACUGCUCAGUUUAGAAUGAUCUGGAUGAGUUGGUGU